CUUGCUCCGGGGGAUUAGUGGCGAACGGGUGAGUAACACGUGAGUAACCUGCCCUUGACUCUGGGAUAACCUCCGGAAACGGAAGCUAAUACCGGAUAUGACGUACGGAGGCAUCUCCUGUACGUGGAAAGAAUUUCGGUCAAGGAUGGACUCGCGGCCUAUCAGGUAGUUGGUGAGGUAACGGCUCACCAAGCCUACGACGGGUAGCCGGCCUGAGAGGGUGACCGGCCACACUGGGACUGAGACACGGCCCAGACUCCUACGGGAGGCAGCAGUGGGGAAUAUUGCACAAUGGGCGCAAGCCUGAUGCAGCAACGCCGCGUGAGGGACGACGGCCUUCGGGUUGUAAACCUCUUUUAGUAGGGAAGAAGCGAAAGUGACGGUACCUGCAGAAAAAGCACCGGCUAACUACGUGCCAGCAGCCGCGGUAAUACGUAGGGUGCGAGCGUUGUCCGGAAUUAUUGGGCGUAAAGAGCUCGUAGGCGGUCUGUCGCGUCUGCUGUGAAAACCCGAGGCUCAACCUCGGGCCUGCAGUGGGUACGGGCAGACUAGAGUGCGGUAGGGGAGAAUGGAAUUCCUGGUGUAGCGGUGGAAUGCGCAGAUAUCAGGAGGAACACCGAUGGCGAAGGCAGUUCUCUGGGCCGUAACUGACGCUGAGGAGCGAAAGCGUGGGGAGCGAACAGGAUUAGAUACCCUGGUAGUCCACGCCGUAAACGUUGGGCGCUAGAUGUGGGGACCAUUCCACGGUUUCCGUGUCGCAGCUAACGCAUUAAGCGCCCCGCCUGGGGAGUACGGCCGCAAGGCUAAAACUCAAAGGAAUUGACGGGGGCCCGCACAAGCGGCGGAGCAUGCGGAUUAAUUCGAUGCAACGCGAAGAACCUUACCAAGGCUUGACAUAUACAAGAACGGGCCAGAAAUGGUCAACUCUUUGGACACUCGUAAACAGGUGGUGCAUGGUUGUCGUCAGCUCGUGUCGUGAGAUGUUGGGUUAAGUCCCGCAACGAGCGCAACCCUCGUUCUAUGUUGCCAGCGCGUAAUGGCGGGAACUCAUAGGAGACUGCCGGGGGUCAACUCGGAGGAAGGUGGGGAUGACGUCAAAUCAUCAUGCCCCUUAUGUCUUGGGCUUCACGCAUGCUACAAUGGCCGGUACAAAGGGCUGCAAUACCGUAAGGUGGAGCGAAUCCCAAAAAGCCGGUCUCAGUUCGGAUUGAGGUCUGCAACUCGACCUCAUGAAGUCGGAGUCGCUAGUAAUCGCAGAUCAGCAACGCUGCGGUGAAUACGUUCCCGGGCCUUGUACACACCGCCCGUCAAGUCAUGAAAGUCGGUAACACCCGAAGCCAG
rnacentral:rRNA from 1 species